CCCACUCCGAGUCCCCUCACACCCGGCACGGUCACCAUGAAACAAUAGACAUAAACUAAUUAAAACAUAAUUAAAAACAGAAAGAACAAAACCCAAAUGCCAUGAAUCAGUGUCUUCACCUUCAUCAUCGUUAAUCUAAUGUUCCACACCACUCAAUGGCCUGAAAUUAGCCACACAAAUAUCCCAACUUGACAUGAUCACUGUCACUUAGUUUGGGCAUGAAUCCUCUCAAACUUAAGCACAUCACAGUGAGGAUUGAAGACAGAGAAGACUAAUGAUGGCGACGAGGACGUACCUACCUCCAAAUCCUAACCCCAUCAAACCAGCUUCCCUAAUUUGAUAGAGCAUGAAACCUAAUUUGGGUAAUCAAUUAAACUUUACAUAAUGUUCUCAAUAUGUACAUGGAUGAAUUUUGAUGGCGGAUUUUCGAAAAGAGGAUGCAGAAGUGCAGUUGCGACGGCCGAGACUUUGGAGUUGAAGAAAACGUCGAACAAUAGUAAUAAUUUCCCCUUUUUUUCUUACUUUUCCACGGGUAUUGACCAAUUGUGUGUGUCUAGG
rnacentral:lncRNA from 1 species